AUCCUACGGGAGGCAGCAGUGGGGAAUAUUGCACAAUGGGCGAAAGCCUGAUGCAGCAACGCCGCGUGAAGGAAGAAGGUCUUCGGAUCGUAAACUUCUGUCCUUGGGGAAGAUAAUGACGGUACCCUUGGAGGAAGCCCCGGCUAACUACGUGCCAGCAGCCGCGGUAAUACGUAGGGGGCAAGCGUUAUCCGGAUUCACUGGGCGUAAAGGGAGCGCAGGCGGCAUGGCAAGUCUGAUGUGAAAACCCGGGGCCCAACCCCGGGAGUGCAUUGGAAACUGCCAGGCUGGAGUGUCGGAGGGGG
rnacentral:rRNA from 1 species